UGAGGAAUAUUGGUCAAUGGACGGAAGUCUGAACCAGCCAAGUAGCGUGCAGGAAGACGGCCCUAUGGGUUGUAAACUGCUUUUGUAUGGGGAUAAAGUCAAUCACGUGUGAUUGUUUGCAGGUACCAUACGAAUAAGGACCGGCUAAUUCCGUGCCAGCAGCCGCGGUAAUACGGAAGGUUCGGGCGUUAUCCGGAUUUAUUGGGUUUAAAGGGAGCGUAGGCCGGAGAUUAAGUGUGUUGUGAAAUGUAGACGCUCAACGUCUGACUUGCAGCGCAUACUGGUUUCCUUGAGUACGCACAACGUUGGCGGAAUUCGUCGUGUAGCGGUGAAAUGCUUAGAUAUGACGAAGAACUCCGAUUGCGAAGGCAGCUGACGGGAGCGCAACUGACGCUGAAGCUCGAAGGUGCGGGUAUCGAACAGGAUUAGAUACCCUGGUAGUCCGCACAGUAAACGAUGGAUGCCCGCUGUUGGUACCUAGUAUCAGCGGCUAAGCGAAAGCAUUAAGCAUCCCACCUGGGGAGUACGCCGGCCGGU
rnacentral:rRNA from 1 species